UAAAGGUAUUCCGGUAGACGAUGGGGAUGCGUUCCAUUAGAUAGUAGGCGGGGUAACGGCCCACCUAGUCUUCGAUGGAUAGGGGUUCUGAGAGGAAGGUCCCCCACAUUGGAACUGAGACACGGUCCAAACUCCUACGGGAGGCAGCAGUGAGGAAUAUUGGUCAAUGGGCGAGAGCCUGAACCAGCCAAGUAGCGUGAAGGAUGACUGCCCUAUGGGUUGUAAACUUCUUUUAUAAAGGAAUAAAGUCGGGUAUGCAUACCCGUUUGCAUGUACUUUAUGAAUAAGGAUCGGCUAACUCCGUGCCAGCAGCCGCGGUAAUACGGAGGAUCCGAGCGUUAUCCGGAUUUAUUGGGUUUAAAGGGAGCGUAGAUGGAUGUUUAAGUCAGUUGUGAAAGUUUGCGGCUCAACCGUAAAAUUGCAGUUGAUACUGGAUAUCUUGAGUGCAGUUGAGGCAGGCGGAAUUCGUGGUGCAGCGGUGAAAUGCUUAGAUAUCACGAGGAACUCCGAUUGCGAAGGCAGCCUGCUAAGCUGCAACUGACAUUGAGGCUCGAAAGUGUGGGUAUCAAACAGGAUUAGAUACCCUGGUAGUCCACACGGUAAACGAUGAAUACUCGCUGUUUGCGAUAUACGGCAA
rnacentral:rRNA from 1 species